rnacentral:rRNA from 1 species
AUUGAACGCUGGCGGCAUGCCUAACACAUGCAAGUCGAGCGGAUGAAGGGAGCUUUCUCCUGGCUUCUGUGGCGGACGGGUGAGUAAUUCCUAGGAAUCUACCUUGUAUGUGAGGCUAACGUCCGUUCACGGGCGCUAAUACAGCAUCCGUCCUUAUGUAGAAAGUGGGGGAUCUUCGGACCUCACGCUAUCAGCUGAGCCUAGGUUGGAUUAGCUAGUUGGUUGGGUAAAGGCCUACCAAGGCGACGAUCCAUAACUGGUCUGAGAGGAUGAUCAGUCACACUGGAACUGAGACACGGUCCAGACUCCUACGGGAGGCAGCAGUAGGGAAUAUUGGACAAUGGGCGAAAGCCUGAUCCAGCCAUGCCGCGUGUGUGAAGAAGGUCUUCGGAUUGUAAAGCACUUUAAGUUGGGAGGAAGGGCAGUAAGUUAAUACCUUGAUAUUUUGACGUUACCAACAGAAUAAGCACCGGCUAACUUCGUG